rnacentral:rRNA from 1 species
AGAAUCAACGCUGGCGGCGUGCCUAACACAUGCAAGUCGCACGAGAAAGGGGAGCAAUCCCUGAGUACAGUGGCGCACGGGUGAGUAACACGUGAAUGAUCUACCUCCGAGUGGGGAAUAACUGAGAGAAAUCUUAGCUAAUACCGCAUAAUACCCACGGGUCAAAGCAGUAAUGCGCUUGGAGAGGAGUUCGCGGCAGAUUAGUUAGUUGGCGGGGUAAUGGCCACCAAGACGAUGAUCUGUAUCCGGCCUGAGAGGGCGCACGGACACACUGGAACUGAAACACGGUCCAGACUCCUACGGGAGGCAGCAGUGGGGAAUUUUGCGCAAUGGGGGAAACCCUGACGCAGCAACGCCGCGUGGAGGAUGAAGCCCCUUGGGGUGUAAACUCCUUUCGAUCGGGAAGAUAAUGACGGUACCGAUAUAAGAAGCCCCGGCUAACUUCGUGCCAGCAGCCGC